GACGAACGCUGGCGGCGUGCUUAACACAUGCCAGUCGAACGGAAAGGCCCUGCUUUUGUGGGGUGCUCGAGUGGCGAACGGGUGAGUAACACGUGAGUAACCUGCCCUUGACUUUGGGAUUACUUCAGGAAACUGGGGCUAAUACCGGAUAGGAGCUCCUGCUGCAUGGUGGGGGUUGGAAAGUUUCGGCGGUUGGGGAUGGACUCGCGGCUUAUCAGCUUGUUGGUGGGGUAGUGGCUUACCAAGGCUUUGACGGGUAGCCGGCCUGAGAGGGUGACCGGCCACAUUGGGACUGAGAUACGGCCCAGACUCCUACGGGAGGCAGCAGUGGGGAAUAUUGCACAAUGGGCGGAAGCCUGAUGCAGCAACGCCGCGUGCGGGAUGACGGCCUUCGGGUUGUAAACCGCUUUCGCCUGUGACGAAGCGUGAGUGACGGUAAUGGGUAAAGAAGCACCGGCUAACUACGUG
rnacentral:rRNA from 1 species